GACGAACGCUGGCGGCGUGCCUAAUACAUGCAAGUAGAACGCUGAAGCGAGGAGCUUGCUCUUCUUGGAUGAGUUGCGAACGGGUGAGUAACGCGUAGGUAACCUGCCUGGUAGCGGGGGAUAACUAUUGGAAACGAUAGCUAAUACCGCAUAAAAUUGAUUAUUGCAUGAUAAUUAAUUGAAAGAUGCAACUGCAUCACUACCAGAUGGACCUGCGUUGUAUUAGCUAGUUGGUGAGGUAACGGCUCACCAAGGCGACGAUACAUAGCCGACCUGAGAGGGUGAUCGGCCACACUGGGACGGAGACACGGCCCAGACUCCUACGGGAGGCAGCAGUAGGGAAUCUUCGGCAAUGGGGGGAACCCUGACCGAGCAACGCCGCGUGAGUGAAGAAGGUUUUCGGAUCGUAAAGCUCUGUUGUAAGAGAAGAACGGGUGUGAGAGUGGAAAGUUCACACUGUGACGGUAUCUUACCAGAAAGGGACGGCUAACUACGUG
rnacentral:rRNA from 1 species